GAUAACAGGCUUAUCACCCCCAAGAGUUCACAUCGACGGGGUGGUUUGGCACCUCGAUGUCGGCUCAUCGCAUCCUGGGGCUGCAGCAGGUCCCAAGGGUUGGGCUGUUCGCCCAUUAAAGCGGUACGCGAGCUGGGUUCAGAACGUCGUGAGACAGUUC
rnacentral:ncRNA from 1 species